UUGAGUUUGAUGAUGGCUCUGAAUGAACGCUGUUCAAGUGACUGAUACAUGCUAAUCGUACGACUAGUCUUGGUUGCGCCUACCUGUAGCUUUGCUUUAUUGUGGGUGCUCUUAGAUUAGUAGUGGUGUACAGGUGAGUAAGGAUAAUCUAACUGCCUAGGAAUAAGGAUUAAGAUCCCUUUUAAAAGAAGUAUAUAUUCGCUCCUAGAUGUUGAUAUAUCUCGUGUGUGGUAGUAGUUGAGAUAACAGCUUAACUAGCUAAAUGCACGUAGUCGUAACUGAGAGGUUGAUCGACCACAAUGGGACUGAAUAAAUCCCAUAUCUAACGUUCAGCAGUAAUGAAUUUUGGUCAAUAGGGGAAACCCUGAACCAGCAACUUGAAAGAAUGUAUAGGGGAAACCCUACUUGCUUCAUGAUUAUGAUUGAGGUAAGAUCGGCUAUGUCGCAUAAAGUUCUAGUUAGUACUAUGAUAAUGACAUUUUCUGACUAUGUGUCUUGACCAAAUUACGUGCCAGCUGUCGCGGUAAUACGUAGAAGACUAGUGUUAUUCAUAUUUAAUCGGUUUAAAGGGUACCUAGACGGCAGAUAAAGCCUUAAUAUAAAUAGAUAAAGGGACUAAUCUAGCUAGAGUUACUUAUGAGGAAGCUAUAAAGUACUGCUGGUGUAGAGAUGAAAUUCUGUCAUACCUCUUUCCGUUAGGGAAACGACGGCACAGGUAAAGGCGAAGGCGUCUUCUUAUGGGAUAACUGACGUUGAGGGACGAAGGCUUAAUGUAGCAAACAGGAUUAGUUACCCUAAUAACCUAAGCAGAAAAUGAUGAAUGUCAUAGGUUAGGUCACCUUAUCUUAUCCUAUAAAUGAAAGUGUAAGCAUUCCACCUCAAGAGUAAUUUGGCAACAUUGGAACUGAAAUCAUUAGACCGUUUCUGAAAACAGUAGUGAGGUAUGUUGUUUAAUUUGAUGAUCCACAAAGAACCUUACCACAAUUUGAAUAUUUAGAACUAUCACCUUGCCUCGUGCCAUGUCAUGAUUAUCGUGGGCUGCUCUAUAGCGAAACACAAGAAGCAUACAUAGCAAAGAGGGAAGGCUUAUAUCUAUCUACAAGCGUUGCACGGCUGUCUUCAGUUAAUGUCGCGAGACUAUGGUUAGUUCCAUUAAAUUAACGUAAACCCUUGUCCUAGUUUUAAUAUAGGACAGUUCUCCGCUAUAUUGGAUGUGAUAAUAGGGACUAAGACAAGUCAUCAUGGCCUAAUAUUGUGGGCUAUAGACGUGCUACGUAGGCCUAACAAAAGGGAGUGAAAUCGCGAGAUUGAGCUAAUCCCCCAAAUCUGGACAUAAACUGACAAUGGAUUGUAGCCUGUAACUCGGCUGCAUGAAAAAGGAAUUACUAGUAAUCGUGUAUAAGUAUGGCACGGUGAAUCUAAUCUCAGAUAGGUACUAACCACUCGUCAGGCGCCGAAAGAAGUAUGUGCAAUAAGUUUGGCUACUGUUUAUUUAUAACCUGGGUGAUCUUAUCCAGAAACUUAGGCAGGAUGUCUUCGUAUGCGUGACUCUGAUUGGUGUUAAGUCGAAAUACGGUUCGUGUAGCGGAAGUUGCACGGGAUUAAUUAAUA
rnacentral:rRNA from 1 species